rnacentral:rRNA from 1 species
UACGGAGGAUCCGAGCGUUAUCCGGAUUUAUUGGGUUUAAAGGGUGCGUAGGUGGUUACUUAAGUCGGAUGUGAAAGCCCCGGGCUUAACCUGGGAAUUGCAUUUGAUACUGGGUGACUAGAAUGUGGUAGAGGGAAGCGGAAUUUCUGGUGUAGCGGUGAAAUGCGUAGAUAUCAGAAGGAACAUCAAUGGCGAAGGCAGCUACCUGGGCCAACAUUGACGCUGAGGCGCGAAAGCGUGGGGAGCAAACAGG